rnacentral:rRNA from 1 species
AUUGAACGCUGGCGGCAUGCCUUACACAUGCAAGUCGAACGGUAACAGGUUAAGCUGACGAGUGGCGCACGGGUGAGUAAUGUAUCGGAACGUGCCCAGUCGUGGGGGAUAACUGCUCGAAAGAGCAGCUAAUACCGCAUACGACCUGAGGGAGAAAGCUGGGGCUCGCAAGACCUCGCGCGAUUGGAGCUGUCGAUAUCCGAUUAGGUGGGUGGUGAGGUAAAUGCUCACCAAGCCGACUAACUGUAUCUGGUCUGAGAGGACGAACAGCCACAAUGGGACUGAGACAAGGCCCAGACUCCUAAGGGAGGCAGCAGUGGGGAAUUCUGGACAAAGGGGGCAAGCCUGAUCCAGGCAUGCCGCGUGCGGGAAGAAGGCCUUUGGGUUGUAAAACGCUUUUGUCAGGGAAGAAAAGGUUCUGGCUAAUACCUGGGACUCCUGAAGGUACCUGAAGAAGAAGCACCGGCUAACUACGUG